UUUUUACUUUUUUUUUAUAUUUAAACAAUUAGAUUUUUAUUUGUCACCACUUUUCCUGGUUCACAAACCCAUUGCAAACAAUGCUAGAAUGAGGGUUGAGAGAUUCAGAAAGAGGCCAUGUUCCUGCUUUGCAGCCCCUAAAUAUUUACCCCAGAGAAAUCAUCUGGAGCAAAAAAUAACAUUGACAGAUGAAACUACAUGAGAUGCCCUAAUCAUGUGUUACACCAACUGCUGUAAAAGAGAAAACAGGAAUGUCACUGAAGUAUUGCAGUGGAGCUGUUUCCCUUCCAGGGCAAUAAUGGGAUUUGGCCAGUUCUUUGUGUCAACCCAAGAACUUCUAGUAGGAUCAUGUGGAUGCAGAUCAGGGAGCUCUGCCAUUACCUCUGUACUCCAUGCCUGCCACAGCUCAAAUACAGUAGGAAAAGGGGCCCAGAUUUCACAAUCCAUAACUUUUAAUUUAUACAGCAUUACCAGUAUCCUGCAAUAGCUUCUAGCUUCAUGUGGAGAAGGAAAAUUCAUUGUGUUACUGCAAUGAGUGAAAUGCAUUGCUUCUGGCAUCUGAAUCUAAAAUUUAGUGUAAAAGCCACUGCUUGUUGCAGGACCAAAUUCUGCCAAGUUAAUUUUGGGAUGACAUUUAAUUUUAAGAGAAUUUAUAUUGUCCCUCUGAGAAUUUGAGCUUCACAAGAUCCUAUUUCCUUAAAACCAGGGAAUGCAGCACUGUAAUUAGGGUACAGAGCAUGGCAGGUAGCACAGGAAUUCAGUGCUCACAGUAUUUUCCUGGGAAGUCUUAUGAACUCAUCCUAACUUUGGACAGGUUGAAAUUAGUUGAGUGGAUACUGCAUGUGUCUAAUCUCAGAUUUAUCCAUGCUGCUUAGCACAAGGUUCAAGAAAAUUUCCGUACUAAAGAUGAAGAUGGUUCCCUUCAUGGUAAAGCAUUGGUACCAUCUGACGAGCAAAAAAAAUAUUUGCGUUGCAGAUAAGGAGGGCAAACAAUAGUGGGUAAGUGAGCAAGAAAGCAAACAGAAUGGAGCAUCUGGAAAUAAGGGAAAUAUCCUAGCUCCUAGGUAGCAAUUCAGCCCCCUUGGUCAUCAGUGCUGUGUUGGGCUGCUUCAGGAUUAAGGUGAAUUUGUUCUGCUGUCGUCAACACCCAUGUUUGCUACACACCAGCUUUAUCGUAGCUUCCCAAGGAAACUUGCAGUGUGCUUGCUCUGCAACAAAACCUGGAAACAGUUUUUCAGAAUCCUACCUAGAAAUUUUAAAUCCUUUCAUUGUUGUUCUAUAUUACAUCAUAUUCUAUUUUAUUACUUGUGUGGGCUGUCGAGGGCCUCAUAACUGUGCUAGUGCUUUCAUCCUUUCCUUUUCCACUGUAUAUUUUAAUAAGACCUCUUUUAUAUUUUUGUAGCUUUCAUGCUGAUGCAAGCACUAGUUUUAUUUCCAGAUUGAUUCUGUAAACUAAAUAUUGUUCUUGAGCCUGGUAGCAAAUCAGCUCUCUCUGGCUAGUAUUUUGAAUUCCCAGCUCAGGAGUUUUCUUCAUUUAGAGCUUGAUUCAUAAAAAAUUUACAUGCUAUUUAAAGAUUAUUUUUUCUUGCUUUACUCUGAUGCAAGUUUAGAAUUCCCUCUUUUACACUCAAAUUAAAAAAAAAAAGGAUAUAUUCUAUGCUUGUGAAAUCUGUUCUGUAGACAAAGUCUUCUACUGAAAAUGGAACAGGUGCAGCUUGGGCAAUUAUAUAUAAAUUGCAUUUAUCUGGCACCUUUGACCACUUCGCUGUGCUCUGGCCACUAAUCCAUCUCCAUUGGGACUACAGCUAACAUCCAAACCCCCAAGCAACUUCAAAAGAGCUGCCUUCAAAAAAUAAAAACAAACUGUCACAGAAAUGUUUCCUUCUUUUCUCCAAAGAGUGGGAUUUCUGUUUGGCCCCCUCCUACAGAAAAAAGACCCACUUGCCUUAGGCAAAGAAUGGGUGAUAUUUAGUUUGGGACCAGUGACGGCUUAUGGUCUGAUGUCUUACGACUUUUAAGCCACUGCAAAUGGGAAACUCAUAGCUUUUUCAUUCAAAGGCUUUUAGCCCAGGAAGACUGAGAGAUACUUACUGUUAGAGGUUUUUUGUUGUUUUGUUUUGACAGAAACGCAAUUCUAGAGACUUUGCAAAGAGAUUAGUUAUAAUUUCCCCUCUGUAAAUUGAGUGCAGGCCCCCGUGGGAACCUCGUUUUGCAGAUGGUGGAAUAAAAAAGAGCCCAAACAUUGCCUUCAGAUAUUUGAGAGAGAUUUAUCACUCAGUUUCACUGCAAAAUGUGACAUCUACCUUACACAUCUACCUGAUAACACAGAGCGUUCUGUGAGCCCUCAUGUGAGGUGCCAUGGGUAUCUCUCAGCUCAAUCCCCAUGGAUGACACAGGUCGUCUGAAAUGAAACUGGGUAAAAUGUGGGGUGGGAUGUUCAAAUCUGUUUUCUUUCAACCCAUCUAGUCCACUGAUAUGAUAUUGCACAACUAUGCUCUUACCUCAUGCUAACUAAAUAUCUGACAAAGCAGCCAGAACUACUUAAAGUUGUAGGUUCUUCCCAACCACCCGCAGGUGUAGGUCUCCCCACCUACCUACAAUUCUAGGUUCUCCCUAUCUACCUACAGCUGUUGACUUAUCCUCAUCAACCUACAAUUGUAGAUUUAUCCCCAUCCCCAGUGUAAAAUACCUUACUUCAGCUUUAUUUUAUGGCCUACUAAUCCAUUGUAGGGAUUAGGUACUCUUUUUCAAUGGAUGAAAUACUGGGUUUUGCACACAGGGGAAAAAAAUAAUUCUCCCACAAAUGUUCAGAAACACGAUACAUUUAAAAACAUAUUUCAAUUAGUGUUGUAACAGCUGCACGCUGUGCACUGCUAAGGUAUGUUGUAUGGUGUCUGAACAAAGAACUUUGCUCAAGCUGUCAUGUUCCCUCAGAUCAAAACUGAGUCCUUGAUACGGAUGUGGUAGACUAAAUAGCUCUAGUAUAGCCUUUUUAGUACUAAUAUAAAUUAAUAUGAAAAUACAAAGUAUUUUAAUCUUCUAAUUUCUAAACUAAUGUAUAAAAUAUAGAUGAUUUCCUGCCAGGCUACCACUUUGCUGGCUGGAGGGAGGCCCCAGGUAUCACGAGCAGGAAACGCAGCAUUGAGUGAACACUGCAUGCAAGGGAUGAGCAAAGCAGAUAACGGCUGAGUGACAGGCACAUAGCCCAGCCUCAGGGAAGGGCAGGUGGAGACAGGUCUGGAUGAGAAGCAGUGGAGGUGGCUGACUUCUGUUUGAAGAGAGAAAAAGUGCUGGACAAUUGGAUGGAGCACAGCUAUGGGGUGAGAAGGGUGUAAUGGGCAUUAAAAAAUCAGGAAAUAACAGAGAAGGAGCAUUGCUGUGGAGAAGUGGAACAAGAUGAGGGUUGGACUUACUGAUGUUGGGGAAAAGUAAGUCAGAGGAAGAGACUGAGACAGCGUGGGCAGUUCAGUGAGGAGGAGGACACAAAAAAGUCCUGAGGAAAAGCAGAAGGACUAUGAGGAAAAAAAAAAAAAGAACAAAAUUAGCAACUAUGAAGAUACUAGCAAAGGGAUGGUAGUGUGCUGCUCUGAGUGAGCUCAGCAGGACACCUAGGAUAAGACAGGAAUGCAGGCAGGCCUAUCAUCUGGUGCAUCCAGCUAGGUGGUCAGUGGCAUUGGAAAAGCUCCCAGCUCACUUGCGAAGGUUUUCUUUGGGCAGUGCUGAGGUUUAAGGAGUGCUUAGGUCAAGAGUGCUUUGGGAUCUUAUGCUAAUUCGAGUAAGCGACUAAAUCGUGCUAAAAUCUCCUGAGCUAUGACUGUGGGAUUUCUCCACUGUGGCAAACUUCUGCUCCUAAUCCAGGUAGUUGCCUCACAGCUCUGGAUUUGGUGCACUUUCAGAUCAAGGCAGAAAUGCAUAAUUAGGAAACAGAUUAUAAAAGCAAUACUGCUAUAAUCCAGUAUAUCAAGCUUGAAUUUUCAGUUUUACUCUAAGGGGAAUUAAAGAAGAAAAAAACACAACAAAAAAACCCAA